UGGUGAAAUUUUGUUGAUAAGGUGAAAUUUUUUAAUGCGGGGGAAAUUCUUAAGAAAUCUGUUGAGACUAAAAAAUUUAGGUAAAAAACCAGGAUUAGAUACCCUGUUAUUCUAAAUAAUAAUGUAAAUAGGGUAGUAAAAGUUGUUCUUCAAACCCAAAGAUUUUGGCGGCAUCUUAUCCUAAUAGAGGAGCUUGUCCUAUAAUUGAUAGUCCCCAUUUUAUCUUACCCUUUUUUGUUAAGCUUGUAUACCGCCGUUGUCAGAUUACUUUAAAAGAACGUUCUCAGGAAAAAUAUUUUUUUUACUUCAGGUCAAGGUGCAGUUUAUAAAAGGGUAGUGAUGAGCUACAAUUUUUAAUAGAAAUACGGAUUUUAGGCUUAAAACUCAGGUGAAGGUGGAUUUAUUAGUAAAUUUACUUAAGUACAGUAAGUUGAAUAAGGCAAUAGGAUGUGUACAUAUCGCCC
rnacentral:rRNA from 1 species